UGGCGCUCGUCCUCGUGACAAAAGAAAACUUCAGGCUCGGUUUUCCAGCUCGCAAACAGUUAAGUGACUUCCUGCAAACGCUAGAGUCCCAGCAACCAGCCUUCCAAUCAAAAGUGAGAAAGGAAUCUAGGACUCAUGGCUCUUCAGGAGGCUUGCCAUCAGCACAACUGGUUAAAAACACAUUGAUUGUCCUCACUGGGUGUGAAAGGUGCCUGCCUCUCUGUGAUGCAGAUCCACUGAAGUCCAACCAUGGCCCCACUGUCUGGUCCGGCACAAAUACCAGUGGGAUCUCUCCACGGUCUCCAUGAUGACUACCUGUACAGUCUCUUGGAUUUGCAUGAACUGACAUUGCACUGGGCACCUUCAGAUAGCCCUAGAGUUAACACUGGGAUUAUUCUAGAUACGAAGGAAAACCUGCAUCUUUCCUUGGACAUUGUAAUCAAGGAACUUGAAUGAAUCAACCAUCAUAGUUUUUUUAAAAAUACAAACCUUCCCCUCCCUUACUUCUGGUCUUCUUCUCUUUAAUUAAUUAUCUUUAAUUUAAUUUUGUUUGGACUGGACAUAACCCCUGAAUUCUUCCAACUCAGUCAUUUCAGAGUUAUAAAAGAAAGUAAUGAAAGAAAAUCGAGAUUUCGCACACAUGACUUUCUCUCAGAUAUUUAUAAGUGUAUCUGCUGCUUUGCUUUAGAAUAGCUUUUUUAACCCAGAAAUUCUAGAAUUAUAGAAUGCUUUCCCCUUUAUCUCUUUUCCCACUCAUUUCUGCUCCAGAUCCCUAUGUUUCUUUCAGGGAGCUAGGUAUGGAGGAAUACAGAAAUGAAAAGACAGUCUAGCCUCACUGAGGCUUAUAUGUUAAAA